GAGAGAGGGGGGGGAGGGGAGGUAAAAGUGUUGUUUACUAGUAAUAAUGUAAUCUAAGGCCAAAGGGCUUUUUACAGGUUUGAUGUUUAGCGCAGGGUGGGGGUGGAGAAUAUUUCACGUUUUGUAGGAAAAAUAAUCCAAACCCAUUUACUUUAGAAAUGAUGCUCCUCUUCAAAAAUAAAGCUAAAUGAAGGUAGUAUAUACCUCUAUGGGAAACAAAAUACUCUUUUCUAGGAGAAAGAGGGAUCUGAAAGAUCAACCUAAUUUGAAAAUAUUUUAGAAAAAUUUUCACAGAAAGGUUAGAAUUUUGAUCACACAAAAAUGUUUUUUUUUUUUUUAUUAUAAAAGCGUUUAAAAAAAAAAAACUCUGUGGGAAAGGAUCUCUGCUUUAAAAGCCCAACUUCAGUGGCUAAUAUAUUCAUUAGAAAUCAUGAAAUAACUCAGAUUGCUGACAUUUUUUCCCCAAAUCAGUGGAUUUCCCAUCAUAGAUAAUCACUGAUGGCAUUUUGGAGUACUUCCUUGGGUUAGGCGUUAGGCUGGCCACAGAAGAUCUAAAUACCCUAAGAGGAUCCUGCCCACAAGAAGCUUGCAGUGAAGAGAGACAAACGAAUACAGUUCAAGGUACUGGGGUCUCAGGCCCCUGUGAUCUACAGAGCGCCGUGAUCUCAGACUCUAAAAUGAAGCACCCCACGUGGUUCAGCACCAUGGAGAGCGUGAGGAAGAGGCACUACCAACAUAUCCUGGUCAUACAGGUGGGGGAAAGAUUGCUCCUGAAAUAGUUGCUGGACAAUUUUCACUUAAAGGACAGUAUUGUAAUGAAGAAAAGUGGGAUCUUGAUUCUCUGAUAUUUGUGAGAAGUUAUUUUUCUGGACAUUGUGUCAGUUUUUUUCUAAACCUUCUUCAUCAAAUUCUAUGUAAUUUAAGACAAGAAUACACCCAGAGUAGGUAGAACCAGACACUGCCAGUACAAAACAUCUUAUGAAGUUUCAUGUUUAUGAUGUGAGGCCUUUUAUGUAAAUUUUCAAAUUUUUUAACAGUUAGGAGGCUUACCCACCUACCAUAGAAGAGAAUGAAAUCAUUCAGAGAUACAUGAAGUUGAGGAUGGGUAAUCAGAGGAUUGUGUGAAGGCUCCCGUCUUAUGUUUCUAGAACUGCCCUGGGAACUUGCAGCUUGUCCUUCAGAUCUGUGAACUACCUAGAAUCCUUUCAGUAGUUUUCCUCCUCUCCCCUUUUAAUUUUCCAUAAGCUAGAUUCAUUUGAGUUUUGUUACUUGCAACUGAAUGUGUCCUAGCACCGCAGAUAUGUAGGAUGAGAUGGAUAAAUGAGAAGAAAGGUAAUUCUAGGCUAGAAGCAAAACAAGUUUACAGCAAGGAAGCAGGGAUAUAACCUGGGAUUUUCUGGGACAGUGAGAAAAUGAGCUUAAGAAAAUUGAAGUGGUUUAUAAGGAAUGUAUUUAAAUAACUUCUCUGUACUAGAACUGAGCAAGAGUAUAUUAAUCUUUCAGCUCUUCAGAAGGCAGUUGAACAAGAGCUAUACAAAUUUUGAAUGCAUGUGCCAUUUGACCCAGCAAUUCCACUUACAGAAGUGAAUUCUGUGGAAAUAAUUGUUCAUGGAUAUUCAUUGAAAUUUGUCUUGUCAUAGAAAAUGACUGAAAACAACGUACAUGUCCAUCAAUAGUGAACUUAUUAAAUAAGUUAUUCCAUAUUUGAGUGUUGAAAUACUGCAUAGCCAUUAAAGAUAAUUUAGGAAACUUAUUUGUAUCACUGUGAAACAAUUCUCACGGGAAAAAAAAGUCAAGGUACAAAACUGUAUUACAAAUGCUCUCAUUUGUGUUUUUUAAAAAUCACAGGUGUAUUUUUGUACAUAGACGAACUCUAGAAGGGCAAACAAAUCUUAGCAAUGGUUUUCUCUGGGAAAGGGACUCUGUUUUCCCAUAUUCUCUUAUAGUGCUGGUUUGUUUUUUCAACUACAUUCUUGUAUUACUACUGGAAUUAAACCAUGAUAUUUAAUAUAACAAGUGUAGAACAAGGAAAACUUUAAGAACAUGCAACGGUUAUCACUUGCUUAGGAAUUUCUAUAUAGCCAUUGUUUUAAGCCCUUUAAUAUGCUUUCUCAUUCAGUCCUCACAGCAACCCUAUAAGAAAAAUGUGUUUCUCAAAUUGCACUUGACGUUGCUGCAAAUAAGGCUCAAAGAAUCUUAAUUCAAAGUGCCAUAAUUCCAAACCCUGGCUCCAGAGCUUUUAUCUUUAACCAUUCCACCCCUUUGCCUCCAUGAGUUGCUCCUGACUUUCCUGUAAUACACCCAAGGACAGAUUUCUGUGGCUGAAAAGCUAAACUUCCUUGUAGACAGCCUAUCAGUGGCAUCCAGUAAGGAUUUCUUCAUAAUGACAAUAAAACAAAGUAGAACAAGCUUACCCUUCUGUACCAGGAGCUUAGAUUCGGGGUAGAGGUUUUCUUAAACUGAUAGUUAAAGUAAAUGCCACUUUGUAAAUUUCUUUAGAGAGCAAUGAACGAUAAUAGUUUCUCCAGCAGUUGGAGCCAUUAAAUUGUUUAAUCUGGGUAAUGACAAAGUUGGACUUCGUAGUUAGAUCACUCUUGUAGUUUUGGAGGAUGGACUUAGAAGAGAAAAGUUUAGAGGCAGAGAGGUAAUUGACAUGGAAAUUUAUUAGGCAUCUACACAGCACUCACUUUCUUCAUCUCCUGCCAAGAGCACCCUGAUCCUCUGUGGAUUAAUUCAUAGAAGGUGAUUAAUUUAAGCCUUCCUUAGAACUGAAUUGUCUUGUUCAAUUGGCUCUGCCACUUACCAUCAUUGUAAAUGUUGAUAACUUAUCUAACCUGCCUCAUGUCUCAAGUAUUAAAAACAUGGGAAUAAUAAUGGUUAUCUCAUUGGGCCAUUGUGAGAUUUUAAACAGAUAGUUCCUGUAUUACCAAUGCUUUAUAAAUAUUAGUCACCAUCAUUAUUGUUGUCUUAGCCAUGUAUUUUGAAUGGGAUUACUCCCACCAGUAAUCUCUCUCAUCUUUAAUCCCUCAUCCCUUGCAGAACAGGGCCUACCAUGCAGUGGUGAGAAUCAUAGAAAUUUUAUCCUUCAAGAAGGGGUAAGAGUUUGCUAGGUCAACUCUCACCUUAACUUACUUUAUUUUUCUUAAGUAUCACAAGUUACGUUAAAUAUGUAUGCAUGUGUGCUAAGUCAUUUCAGUCGUGUCUGA